CCACGUGUAUGUUGGAAGCGGCACGAAACUGGGCACGUGCGUGUUACGUUAUUAAUAAAUUAAAGCUUAUAACAAAAUCACGUGACUGUUAUUGUUUACAAGAUACAACAAGGAACAUAACAACUACACAGAAACUCCUGGGAGAAACCUAAACCUGUGGUGAUUAUAAAGCCUGAUCAACACGUGUUCAGAGGAGAGACUGUGACAUUCAAAUGUGAGAUAAAGAGCGCAAAAGACACCGAGUGGACAUACAGCUGGUAUAAGAAAGAUGACACAGAGAACCUGUACAAAGAAGCACAAGAGUUCAUCAUCAGCUCAGUUACAAACACUGACAGAGGCAAAUACACCUGCAGAGGGAAGAGCAGUGACUCUCAGUUCUCACAGCACAGUAAUCCUGUUAAACUCACUGUAUCAG